rnacentral:rRNA from 1 species
CCUACGGGGGGCUGCAGUGAGGAAUAUUGGUCAAUGGACGAGAGUCUGAACCAGCCAAGUAGCGUGAAGGAUGACUGCCCUAUGGGUUGUAAACUUCUUUUAUAAAGGAAUAAAACGAGGCACGUGUGCCUUUUUGCAUGUACUUUAUGAAUAAGGAUCGGCUAAAUCCGUGCCAGCAGCCGCGGCAAUACGGAGGAUCCGAGCGUUAGCCGGAUUUAUGGGGUUUAAAGGGAGCGUAGAUGGGUUGUUAAGUCAGUUUUGAAAGUUUGCGGCUCAACCGUAAAAUUGCAAUUGAUACUGGCAGUCUUGAGUACAGUUGAGGUAGGCGGAAUUCGUGGUGUAGCGGUGAAAUGCUUAGAUAUCACGAAGAACCCCGAUUGCGAAGGCAGCUUACUAAACUGUGACUGACAUUGAUGCUCGAAAGUGUGGGUAUCAAACAGGAUUAGAUACCCCUGUAGUC